CUUUUUUCUGCUCCUUGCUCCUCUGAGAGAGUCUAUGUCUUGCAGCUCUUUCUGCUAUAACCCACUGUUGUUAUACUGGAGGCGUGUUCAAGUGGUGGGGAAACGGGAAGGCUGGAACCAUGUCCAGCUGGGAUAAGGCUUCAGUCUCAUCCUGUGAUGAAGAAAUUUUCCCUGUAGAACAGGCCUUUGUUAUGGAGAAAAAUUAGUUUCUUUACUGAUCUUCAAAGAAGGCAGGAUUUGUUCAGACAGAGAAGCCACUUAUCGCCACAGAGGAUUUUGGAUCCUUUUGGCCCUGCCUUCUGUCUGCCUAUAGAAUGGAAGAACUGUUUCUUCAGAUCUCAACUCUGAAAACAUGUCUGAGGUCAGACUGCCUAGAUCUGAAUGCUAGCUGCGAUAGCAUGUUCUAGG
rnacentral:lncRNA from 10 species